rnacentral:rRNA from 1 species
AGAUUAAGUUAUUAAGGGCGCACGGUGGAUGCCUUGGCACUAGAAGCCGAUGAAGGACGUUACUAACGACGAUAUGCUUUGGGGAGCUGUAAGUAAGCUUUGAUCCAGAGAUUUCCGAAUGGGGAAACCCAGCAUGAGUUAUGUCAUGUUAUCGAUAUGUGAAUACAUAGCAUAUCAGAAGGCACACCCGGAGAACUGAAACAUCUUAGUACCCGGAGGAAGAGAAAGAAAAUUCGAUUCCCUUAGUAGCGGCGAGCGAAACGGGAAGAGCCCAAACCAACAAGCUUGCUUGUUGGGGUUGUAGGACACUCUAUACGGAGUUACAAAGGACGACAUUAGACGAAUCAUCUGGAAAGAUGAAUCAAAGAAGGUAAUAAUCCUGUAGUCGAAAAUGUUGUCUCUCUUGAGUGGAUCCUGAGUACGACGGAGCACGUGAAAUUCCGUCGGAAUCUGGGAGGACCAUCUCCUAAGGCUAAAUACUCUCUAGUGACCGAUAGUGAACCAGUACCGUGAGGGAAAGGUGAAAAGCACCCCGGAAGGGGAGUGAAAUAGAACCUGAAACCGUGUGCUUACAAGUAGUCAGAGCCCGUUAAUGGGUGAUGGCGUGCCUUUUGUAGAAUGAACCGGCGAGUUACGAUUUGAUGCAAGGUUAAGCAGUAAAUGUGGAGCCGUAGCGAAAGCGAGUCUGAAUAGGGCGUUUAGUAUUUGGUCGUAGACCCGAAACCAGGUGAUCUACCCUUGGUCAGGUUGAAGUUCAGGUAACACUGAAUGGAGGACCGAACCGACUUACGUUGAAAAGUGAGCGGAUGAACUGAGGGUAGCGGAGAAAUUCCAAUCGAACCUGGAGAUAGCUGGUUCUCUCCGAAAUAGCUUUAGGGCUAGCCUCAAGUGAUGAUUAUUGGAGGUAGAGCACUGUUUGGACGAGGGGCCCCUCUCGGGUUACCGAAUUCAGACAAACUCCGAAUGCCAAUUAAUUUAACUUGGGAGUCAGAACAUGGGUGAUAAGGUCCGUGUUCGAAAGGGAAACAGCCCAGACCACCAGCUAAGGUCCCAAAAUAUAUGUUAAGUGGAAAAGGAUGUGGCGUUGCCCAGACAACUAGGAUGUUGGCUUAGAAGCAGCCAUCAUUUAAAGAGUGCGUAAUAGCUCACUAGUCGAGUGACACUGCGCCGAAAAUGUACCGGGGCUAAACAUAUUACCGAAGCUGUGGAUUGUCCUUUGGACAAUGGUAGGAGAGCGUUCUAAGGGCGUUGAAGCAUGAUCGUAAGGACAUGUGGAGCGCUUAGAAGUGAGAAUGCCGGUGUGAGUAGCGAAAGACGGGUGAGAAUCCCGUCCACCGAUUGACUAAGGUUUCCAGAGGAAGGCUCGUCCGCUCUGGGUUAGUCGGGUCCUAAGCUGAGGCCGACAGGCGUAGGCGAUGGAUAACAGGUUGAUAUUCCUGUACCACCUAUAAUCGUUUUAAUCGAUGGGGGGACGCAGUAGGAUAGGCGAAGCGUGCGAUUGGAUUGCACGUCUAAGCAGUAAGGCUGAGUAUUAGGCAAAUCCGGUACUCAUNCAUUAAGGCUGAGCUGUGAUGGGGAGAAGACAUUGUGUCUUCGAGUCGUUGAUUUCACACUGCCGAGAAAAGCCUCUAGAUAGAAAAUAGGUGCCCGUACCGCAAACCGACACAGGUAGUCAAGAUGAGAAUUCUAAGGUGAGCGAGCGAACUCUCGUUAAGGAACUCGGCAAAAUGACCCCGUAACUUCGGGAGAAGGGGUGCUCUUUAGGGUUAACGCCCAGAAGAGCCGCAGUGAAUAGGCCCAAGCGACUGUUUAUCAAAAACACAGGUCUCUGCUAAACCGUAAGGUGAUGUAUAGGGGCUGACGCCUGCCCGGUGCUGGAAGGUUAAGAGGAGUGGUUAGCUUCUGCGAAGCUACGAAUCGAAGCCCCAGUAAACGGCGGCCGUAACUAUAACGGUCCUAAGGUAGCGAAAUUCCUUGUCGGGUAAGUUCCGACCCGCACGAAAGGCGUAACGAUUUGGGCACUGUCUCAACGAGAGACUCGGUGAAAUCAUAGUACCUGUGAAGAUGCAGGUUACCCGCGACAGGACGGAAAGACCCCGUGGAGCUUUACUGUAGCCUGAUAUUGAAAUUCGGCACAGCUUGUACAGGAUAGGUAGGAGCCUUUGAAACGUGAGCGCUAGCUUACGUGGAGGCGCUGGUGGGAUACUACCCUAGCUGUGUUGGCUUUCUAACCCGCACCACUUAUCGUGGUGGGAGACAGUGUCAGGCGGGCAGUUUGACUGGGGCGGUCGCCUCCUAAAAGGUAACGGAGGCGCUCAAAGGUUCCCUCAGAAUGGUUGGAAAUCAUUCAUAGAGUGUAAAGGCAUAAGGGAGCUUGACUGCGAGACCUACAAGUCGAGCAGGGUCGAAAGACGGACUUAGUGAUCCGGUGGUUCCGCAUGGAAGGGCCAUCGCUCAACGGAUAAAAGCUACCCCGGGGAUAACAGGCUUAUCUCCCCCAAGAGUUCACAUCGACGGGGAGGUUUGGCACCUCGAUGUCGGCUCAUCGCAUCCUGGGGCUGUAGUCGGUCCCAAGGGUUGGGCUGUUCGCCCAUUAAAGCGGUACGCGAGCUGGGUUCAGAACGUCGUGAGACAGUUCGGUCCCUAUCCGUCGUGGGCGUAGGAAAUUUGAGAGGAGCUGUCCUUAGUACGAGAGGACCGGGAUGGACAUACCUCUGGUGUACCAGUUGUCGUGCCAACGGCAUAGCUGGGUAGCUAUGUGUGGACGGGAUAAGUGCUGAAAGCAUCUAAGCAUGAAGCCCCCCUCAAGAUGAGAUUUCCCAACUUCGGUUAUAAGAUCCCUCAAAGAUGAUGAGGUUAAUAGGUUCGAGGUGGAAGCAUGGUGACAUGUGGAGCUGACGAAUACUAAUCGAUCGAAGACUUAAUCAAAUU